rnacentral:tRNA from 3 species
GGCGCCGUAGCCAAGUGGUAAGGCAGAGGUCUGCAAAACCUUCACCGCCGGUUCGAAUCCGGCCGGCGCCUCCA